rnacentral:rRNA from 1 species
UACGUAGGGUCCGAGCGUUGUCCGGAAUUACUGGGCGUAAAGCGCGCGCAGGCGGCCCGCGAGGUGUCACGUGAAAGCCCCGGGCUCAACCCGGGAGGGUCGUGGCAAACCGGCGGGCUUGAGGCCGAUAGAGGUGGGUGGAACUCCUGGUGGAGUGGUGAAAUGCGUAGAGAUCAGGAAGAACACCCGUGGCGAAGGCGGCCCACUGGGCCGGUACUGACGCUGAGGCGCGAAGGCGUGGGGAGCGAACGGG